GACAGAGGCCCCAAGCGUUAGGCGGAAUCACUGGGCUUAAAGCGUGUGUAGGCGGAUCGUUAAGUGUCUUGUGAAAUCCCACGGCUCACCCGUGGAACUGCUGGGCAUACUGGCGAUGUUGGGCCAACUAGGGGCAGCCGGAACAAGCGGUGGAGCGGUGAAAUGCGUAGAUAUCGCUUGGAACGCCGAAGGUGAAAACAGGCUGCUGGGGUUGCGCCGACGCUGAGACACGAAAGCCAGGGGAGCAAACGGG
rnacentral:rRNA from 1 species